CAGCCGCCACGGUAAUACAGAGGGUGCGAGCGUUAAUCGGAUUUACUGGGCGUAAAGCGUGCGUAGGCUGCUUCUUAAGUCGGAUGUGAAAUCCCUGAGCUUAACUUAGGAAUUGCAUUCGAUACUGGGAAGCUAGAGUAUGGGAGAGGAUGGUAGAAUUCCAGGUGUAGCUGUGAAAUGCGUAGAGAUCUGGAGGAAUACCGAUGGCGAAGGCAGCCAUCUGGCCUAAUACUGACGCUGAGGUACGAAAGCAUGGGGAGCAAACAGGAUUAGAUACCCGCGUAGUCCCUGUCUCUUAUAC
rnacentral:rRNA from 1 species